UACAGAGGUCCCGAGCGUUGUUCGGAUUCACUGGGCGUAAAGGGUGCGUAGGUGGUGAGGUAAGUCGGAUGUGAAAUCUCCGGGCUCAACCCGGAAACUGCAUUGGAAACUACCUUGCUAGAGGUUUUGAGGGGGGACUGGAAUUCUCGGUGUAGCAGUGAAAUGCGUAGAUAUCAGGAGGAACACCGAUGGCGAAGGCAGGUCUCUGGGCUGACACUGACGCUCAUGCACGAAAGCGUGGGGAGCAAACAGG
rnacentral:rRNA from 1 species